ACUGUACCAAAUGAAAGUCUUAAAUCUUAAAAAUGAGAAUUUAACUCUAUUUUACAUGUAGACAUUGAUUGGAAAAUGAACGUAUCUUAGAGAACUUUACAUAUCUACACAUACACAGAUAUGCUUUAUUUUUUAUAAUAUGCAUUAUCAGUAUUCAUCACAGUUAUAAUAACAAUAAUAUGUUUUAUCUGAUUCUUUAAUUUUUGCCAUUCUGGUAGAUGAAAAGCGGAAUCUAAUUUGCAUUUCAUUAUGAGAGAAUUGAGAAUUAAAUGAAAAGGUAAAUCCUUUUAAAGACCUCAGAAGAUGGAUCUGUUUGUUUCAAUCUGCUUUUGAGGUUGUUUGCUAUGUCUUUGGCUGAUCUAACAAAAACAAAUAUAGAUGAGCAUUUCUUCGGCGUGGCAUUAGAAAACAAUAGGAGGUCUGCAGCAUGCAAGAGAAGCCCAGGCACAGGCGAUUUUUCACGGAACAGUAAUGCUUCCAAUAAGAGUGUUGAUUAUAGCAGAUCUCAGUGCUCCUGUGGAAGUUUAAGUUCUCAGUAUGAUUAUUCAGAAGACUUUCUCUGUGAUUGUUCAGAAAAGGCUAUUAAUAGAAAUUAUUUAAAGCAGCCUGUGGUAAA
rnacentral:lncRNA from 10 species